GUGAGGGAACGUUUCUGACGCUAGGUCAAGGGCGGUGUUCCUGUGUUCUUAGGGCCCCAGGAGGCGAGUCUGAGUGGAACCUGGCUGGGGUAGGCUGAAAGGUGACUUCGACGCUCUUCUGAGGCCUCAGACGUGUGUGAUGACUGCCCUGUAGAAUCAGUGCUGUGACCCCGAGUAACAACGCGCGCUUGAGUUGGUAUAAACUCCUGAAGAGUGUAGUCCUGCAAUUUACAAGAAAAAGUUAAGUGUAAAAUAGCCUCAGGCAUGUCCUUCAGGAGGGAUUCCAGAGGCAUUGUUAUAGACGAUGACAGCUCUGUGUGUGUUAUUGCCACUGAAGACCUUCCAUGGGACGCGAUGUGGAGCUGGAAGUCAGUGAUAUUGAUGAUCCUGACACAGUCCUAGGAUAAGGAUCUUUAACUUUAUUAGCAGCUACUGAGCUACAGAAUACAAACCAACUGAAAACAUUAAAGAAAGGCUUCCUGAAACAGGCUUUCCAGCUCACUACCCAAAAGACUUGAGUACUUCUAUUAAGGCAGCUGGAAGCCCACCCUAGACUUCAAUGGCAAUUUGUCCUUUCUCUGCCAGUAAGGCAAUCCAACACAAUAUGCUACAGGAAAAACAGAAUUUCCAUGGUGCUGCCCUCUGGUACAAGGGAAACAGCACUCAGAGCAAAAGGCCACAGAGGACUCCCUGAGAAUCCAGUACAACUAAGCGAGGCCUUAAACUGUCGAGACAAACUUUGCAACUGGAUCCCGGUGGGACAGUGCCCUGCGGCGAGGAGUAGUGUAUAUGCCAAUGAGAGGGCCCAGCUUCCAGGAACCGUUACAAUGGCGUCCUGAGUCAUUUUCUCUCUCCCACUUGCAUUCGAGUGCGAAAACACACACCGUGGCCUUGAUUCUCACUCACCACAAUCCCCCUGUACAGAGGGGUUUGUUUCUAAGUCUGGAACCUCAACACGAGGCUGGGAUGCUUCACGACGUGCUCUCUCCCACUGUCCAGCCAUCUUUGGUGGUCUCCCCAUAGUGCUUUCCCAUCCUCUUAUGCUCCUGUGGAGGGACCAUGGGACGGGCCAGGAGGAAACCUGGGAUCACUCUGACAGAAAAGGGACAAGCACAGCUGCCAGGAGCCAGUUGCUCCAGCCUCAGUCUCCGGUUGUUAGUCUCAGGAUCAACAGAGAACUGGAAAGCAGCAGAAUCUGGAGGAGCAGGCAGAGAGCCCAGAGGAGGAGUGUUGUGCUCAGUGACGGUUAACAGAUGAAAAGGAAUUUCAUGGAGAUUCUUUGUUACAAGGAGAAAUUGCUCAGUCUCAACUCCCAGAAUAUGAAAGUUGCCUGGUUUAAGAGACCUAUAUUUUCUUUUUCAGCUCUUCAAACCUCUGGGAAAGAUCAUCAAAGUCAAUGUCUUCAGAUGCUGAGGUGCUGGCACCAGCAAAUGCAGUUGGUAGUGUGUCUGGCACAGAUGGCAACUCUGGUAGGACAAAGUUGUCAUAGUUAUCCGCAGGUCAGGAAGGAAGCUUUGCAGAGGCUUCUGGCUUGGGUCCAGGACCAACAAUCUGUGCAGAAGAGAUAUUCUUAUCAGCAUUAAUGUCAUCUACAGAUUCAUAUGAUGGGGGAGUUGCUGGUAUCUGAGAUGGAUAAAUAUUGGGAAAGGCCUGGUAAGUCCCCAUUGGCAGUCCAUUGAAAUCUGAUGGUCCCUUUGGCAGUGGAUAUGAGAAAGGAGUAUUUGCAGAUAGCAUGGGCAUAGGCAUGGGCAUUGGCACCAUUCCAUCAGGUCCACCAACUGGUGCUGUGAACCCACCACCCCCUCCUCUUCCAGGGCCUCCUUUCUUCACAUCAUCUGUGAAUCCAACAUCAAUAAGAUCUGUCUCUACCCCAGAAGGAGCUUCUGCCAUGACCACAGAGUCAGGUUCAUAGGGUACAUUGUAAUUCUUCGCAAUUUCAAUCAGGUAUCUCUCCACCAGGAUUUUGGAUGGGGCUUCCACACUCAGAUUGUGCAUUAGCCUGUCAUUCACAGUUCCAAUCUGGUUGGUCCUACAUAGCUUGCCAUAUUACUUGCUAUACUUGGCACAGAGCUGAUCAGCAACUAUUUUCAACUCAGCCACUUCUGACUGGAGUCGAGGAGCAGCCCAGAUCAAUGUAGACACAGAUUCAGCCAGACCAGAAUCUAGUUCCUUCAUAGACUGGAUAAGGCCAAACCGAGCCAGCAGCAGAUCACAGUACAGCUCCAGGAUCUCCAUGGCCUCCACGAAGUAGUCUUCCCGGAUAAUGUGCUCCACACGGAUCCGAGCUCGUUCAUCUUUCCCAGCAGCCAGAUAGUCAGCAAUCUCCUUCCUUGCUUUCUGGGCCAGUUCUGUUUUUUUUUUUUUUCCUCCAAUAGUUCAAGGCGAUUUAUGACUAAUCUCAAAUUCACUCUUAAGUGCUCAGCUUUAAAUCCAGAGCCCAGCAUGCUGUGCUGUUCCUCCUAACCGAAUCCUGCCAUGAACACAGCAGACACCGACUUCAGAAUCAGGGUUCACCAUCCACGUGAUUCUUAAACACGUAAAUGAAACUCCAAGAACCGGGAGAUGGGGGCGGAGUGUACAACCCUUCCAGGAAGGAAUCCUACACAAACCCUGCGUGACCAAACUUUACUCAGGCUCUUACACCUUCCCCUGGGCCCAUCUGUACACUUCAUUAUAAAAUCCAACAAUAACAAAGGCCCCUUUUAAGUCAGUUUAGCAAGAACCCUCUGCCCCCCAUCUUCAUCCUCCACUAUCCCCCAGGCGAUGAUGUCUUAUCAUCCAGGUCUCUCUCUUCAGAAAGAAUCCCAACAGGUGCGUUUAGCCAGAAUCCUACUUAUCCCAGACAUUUCCUCUUAGUAUUUUGUCAUCCAGUGAUCCCUAACCUGCUCCUUGACUAUAAAUUCCUACUCGUUCAUGCUGAAUUUGGAGUUGAACCCAAUCUCUUGUACCCAUUGCAAAAUCUCACUGCUGUGCUUCCAAUACCUAUCACGAUGAUCCUGAAUAAAGUCUUCCUUUGCAUGCUUUAA